rnacentral:rRNA from 1 species
AUUGAACGCUGGCGGCAGGCCUAACACAUGCAAGUCGAACGAGUGGCGGACGGAUGAGUAAUGUCUGGGAACCUGCCUGAUGGAGGGGGAUAACUACUGGAAACGGUAGCUAAUACCGCAUACCAUCCGAUGUUCCCAGAUGGGAUUAGCUUGUUGGUGGGGUAACGGCUCACCAAGGAGACGAUCCCUAGCUGGUCUGAGAGGAUGACCAUCCACCAUGGAACUGAUACACGGUCCAGAUGCCUACGGGAGGAAGCAGUGGGGAAGUGUGCACAAUGGGCGCAAGCCUGAUGCAGCCAUGCGGCGUGUAUGAAGAAGGCCUUCGGGUUGUAAAGUACUUUCAGCGGGGAGGCGUUACCCGCAGAAGAAGCACCGGCUAACUCCGUGCCAGCAGCCGCGGUAAUUC